rnacentral:rRNA from 1 species
CCCUUAGAUGUUCUGGGCCGCACGCGCGCUACACUGACGAAUGCAACGAGCUUAUAACCUUGGCCGAAAGGUCUUGGUAAUCUCCAAAUUUCGUCGUGAUGGGGAUAGAUUAUUGCAAUUAUUAAUCUUCAACGAGGAAUGCCUAGUAAGCGCAAGUCAUCAGCUUGCGUUGAUUACGUCCCUGCCCUUUGUACACACCGCCCGUCGCUCCUACCGAUUGAAUGGUCCGGUGAAGCGUUCGGACCGUGGCCUUUGGACGGUUCGCCGUCUGUUGGCUGCGGGAAGUUCGUUAAACCUUAUCAUUUAGAGGAAGGAGAAGUCGUAACA